AGGGGCAAGUACACUAAACCGCCUGGUGGAUGGCUCGGCUCGGGGCGCCGACGAAGGGCGUGGCAAGCUGCGAUAAGCCUCGGUGAGGCGCAGGCAGCCGUCGAGCCGAGGAUUCCCGAAUGGGACUUCCCGCCCUUAUGGGCACUCCGUAAGGAGGGGGAACGCGGGGAAUUGAAACAUCUUAGUACCCGCAGGAAAAGAAAGCAAAAGCGAUGCCGUGAGUAGGGGCGACCGAAAACGGCACAGGGCAAACUGAACCCCAAGUGGAAACACUUGGGGGAUGUGGUGUGGUGGGUCCUGCCUAGGAUCCUCCUCGGUGAAGCUGAAGUCCGCUGGAAUGCGGCGCCGGAGAGGGUGAUAGCCCCGUAAGCGUAAGCCGAGUGGAUCCGGCAGGAUUCCUGAGUACCGUCGGUCGGAUAUCCGGCGGGAAUCUGGGAGGCAUCGGCUCCCAACCCUAAAUACGUCCCGAGACCGAUAGCGAACUAGUACCGUGAGGGAAAGCUGAAAAGUACCCCUGGCAGGGGGUGAAAAGAGCCUGAAACCAGGCGGUGAUAGUUGGGUGCGGCUCUUAAGGAGUGAGUCUCCCUGAAGGAAAGCCUCGCGAGGGGUGAGUACGAGGGGAGAGGACCGGGGUCGCACCGUCCGUCUUGAAACACGGGGCAGGGAGUUCAUCCGAGCGGCGAGGUUAAGGGGUGGAACCCCGAAGCCGUAGGGAAACCGACAGGUCCGCAGGCGUUUGCUGAGGGACGGGGUGUGAAAGCGCCUGGAGUCGCUCGGAUGAGACCCGAAACCGGUCGAUCUAGCCCGGGGUAGGGUGAAGUCCCUCACCAGAGGGAUGGAGGCCCGUUAGGGAUGCUGACGUGCAAUUCGCUCCCGUGACCUCGGGCUAGGGGUGAAAGGCCAAUCGAGGCCGGAGAUAGCUGGUUCCCCCCGAAUUAUCCCGUAGGAUAGCCCGGGGCGAGGUUGGUGGUGGGGUAGAGCACUGAUUGGGUGUUUAGGGGGCGAAAGCCUCCGGCAUCCUGUCAAACUCCGAACCCACUACCGCCGUAGACCCCCGGAGUAGGGCAACGGUGUAAGCCGUCUGCCGAAAGGGAAAGAACCCAACCUGGGGUUAAGGUCCCUAAGUGCCGGCUAAGUAUGACCUAAAGGGUGUCCCUGGCCUUAGACAGCGGGGAGGUAGGCUUAGAAGCAGCCAUCCUUUAAAGAGUGCGUAACAGCUCACCCGUCGAGGUCAGGGGCCCCGAAAAUGGACGGGGUUCAAGCCGGCCACCGAUACCCCAGCGGGCGGAGUGUUUGCUCCGUCAUCGGGUAGGGGGGCGUUCCGGUGGGGUAGAAGGUGGGCCGUGAGGUCCACUGGACCCGUCGGAAUUGCGGAUCCUGCCGGGAGUAGCAGCAUAGCCGGGUGAGAAUCCCGGCCGCCGUAGGGGCAAGGGUUCCACGGCAAUGUUCGUCAGCCGUGGGUUAGUCGGUCCUAACCUGGCCCGUAAUUCGGUGCCGGGGAAAGGGAAACGGGUUUAUAAUCCCGUACCGCGGGGGUAGGUGCGGUAACGCAAGCCCGGAGGGUGACGCCUCGGGGUAGGCGGACCGGUCUUGCAUGGCCGGCUAAGCGUAUAAGCCCGGGGAGUACCGUAAUGGUGAGAACCGGGUGAAGGCGUGAUGGGCCUCCCGUUAGGGGGGUUCCGCUGAUCCCUGGGGCCCGUGAAAAGCCUUCCGGGAGCGAUCCUCCGCGACCGUACCAAGAACCGACACCGGUGCCCCUGGGUGAGAAGCCUAAGGCGUGUCGGGGGAAACCCAGCCGAGGGAAAUCGGCAAAUUGGCCCUGUAACUUCGGGAGAAGGGGUGCCUGCGGUUGUGUAAACCGCAGGUCGCAGUGACUAGGGGGGCCCGACUGUUUAGUAAAAACACAGGUCCCAGCUAGCCCGAAAGGGUUUGUACUGGGGCCGACGCCUGCCCAGUGCCGGUACGUGAAGCCCGGGUUCAACCGGGUGAAGCGCCGGUAAACGGCGGGGGUAACUAUAACCCUCUUAAGGUAGCGAAAUUCCUUGUCGGUUAAAUGCCGACCUGCAUGAAUGGCGUAACGAGGUCCCCACUGUCCCCGGCUGGGGCCCGGCGAAACCACUGCCUGGCCGCGUAUGCCAGGGACCUCCGGACGGAAGCGAAGACCCCAUGGAGCUUUACUGCAGCCUGCCGUUGCUGUACGGCUGGGGGUGCGCAGCGUAGGCGGGAGGCGUCGAAGCCCGUCCUCUGGGGCGGGUGGAGCCGUCCAUGAGACACCGCCCACCUUUAGCCGUACAGCUAACCUCCUGUUGGGGGGACAGCGGUAGGUGGGCAGUUUGGCUGGGGCGGCACACUCCCGAAAAGGUAUCGGGAGUGCCCUAAGGUCGGCUCAGGCGGGUCAGGAAUCCGCCGUAGAGUGUAAGGGCAAAAGCCGGCCUGACUGGACUCGUAACAGAGGCGGGUCCAGCCGCGAAAGCGUGGCCUAACGAACCCCAGAGCCUCCCCGGUGGGGGCCUGGGAUGACAGAAAAGCUACCCUGGGGAUAACAGAGUCGUCUCGGGCGAGAGCCCAUAUCGACCCCGAGGCUUGCUACCUCGCUGUCGGCUCUUCCCAUCCUGGUCCUGCAGCAGGGGCCAAGGGUGGGGGUGUUCACCCAUUAAAGGGGAACGUGAGCUGGGUUUAGACCGUCGUGAGACAGGUCGGAUGCUAUCCUCCGGAGGUGUUGGCCGCUUGAGGGGAAGGUGCCCUUAGUACGAGAGGAACAGGGUGCCGCGGCCUCUGGUCUGCCGGUUGUCUUGCAAGGCAUAGCCGGGCAGCUACGCCGUGUCCGAUAAGGCCUGAAGGCAUCUAAGGCCGAAGCGGAUAAGGCCUGAAGGCAUCUAAGGCCGAAGCGGUCCCCGAAAAUAAGCGGCCGUUCCCUGGGUUGGGGUUUGGGUGACCGGCCCGUUUCCAGGGACGAGGGCGCCCGUAGAAGACGGGUUUGUUGGGGCGGGGGUGUAAGCGGGAAGGGUUUCCGACCCGUUUAGCCUGCCGUUCCCAAUUGCCCGAGGUCUUGCCCUG
rfam:Palaeococcus pacificus DY20341, complete genome.